AGAGCCAUAGCUCAGUGGUAGAGCAUCUGUUCUGCAUAAAGAAGGUCCCUGGUUCAGCCCCUGGUGUCUCCA